UACCAGUAGCAGUUAAGCUGCCAGCAUGAUCUUGUCUUCCUCUCUUAGGUUUCAUAUAUAGUUAAUAAAUAUUUUAUAUAUUUCUUGUUCUUACAAGAUUAUAUGAUCAUAGCUUAGAGAGAGAGAGAGACUAGGUCAUGCUGGUAGUUUCACCUGCUAAUGAU
rnacentral:pre_miRNA from 14 species